rnacentral:tRNA from 1 species
AUUUGUAGAGCAAUGGAUAGCGCAUUGGACUUCUAAUCCAAAGGUCGUGAGUUCGAAUCUUACCUGGAAUG